rnacentral:rRNA from 1 species
AUUGAACGCUGGCGGCAUGCCUUACACAUGCAAGUCGAACGGCAGCACGGGGGCAACCCUGGUGGCGAGUGGCGAACGGGUGAGUAAUACAUCGGAACGUGUCCUGUAGUGGGGGAUAGCCCGGCGAAAGCCGGAUUAAUACCGCAUACGCUCUACGGAGGAAAGGGGGGGAUCUUAGGACCUCCCGCUACAGGGGCGGCCGAUGGCAGAUUAGCUAGUUGGUGGGGUAAAGGCCUACCAAGGCGACGAUCUGUAGCUGGUCUGAGAGGACGACCAGCCACACUGGGACUGAGACACGGCCCAGACUCCUACGGGAGGCAGCAGUGGGGAAUUUUGGACAAUGGGCGAAAGCCUGAUCCAGCAAUGCCGCGUGUGUGAAGAAGGCCUUCGGGUUGUAAAGCACUUUUGUCCGGAAAGAAAACGCCCGUGGUUAAUACCCGUGGCGGAAG